CUAAACUACAGCACCCACCUCUAUUAAAUCCCAGUCCACCCCCAUAUACUAAAUCCCAGCACCCCCCUCUAGCCAACAAGCAGACUCUACUCACAUUGCCGCUGCCAGUAUAAGACUCCGGAGUCAGACCUCUGGUAUACCCCAAAUGGCGCCGUCCGCACCCUGUGCCAAAGCGGAUCCUCCUGUUACUUCUCGAAAACCUAUGAAGGUGGAGCACGUCGACGUCACGGAAUGUGACGUGGAGUUGCGUGCCUACGUGAACCUCCAGGUCCUCCACUGUCAAGCUUUUGCCAUUGCAACACUGACCGACACACACAUUUACACAUUCUUGCACACACACCUAUUGUAUUUAUCCCUAGGGUCCAGUGGGGAUCUUCUAUCUAUAUGACGUCCUAUUCCGGAGCACAGCAUCACUACAGACUGCGCACACGAGGGAGCAGUGAGGAACAGGAAGGCUGAGCUCCCUCGCUGCAUCCACCUUACUCUCCUCCCUGGCUGAGUAAAUGUUAGUAGAGUAGGCACCUGCAAUGAGGGGAGAGCAGCUGCCUACUCGGCUUGGAACAGCAAGCAUGUACUCGUGGCUCGCCGGGCCACAAAGAUGUCCAUUGCGGGCCGCGGGUUUGACAUGCUUGCUGUACAUGUGAAGAUAAGAAAGAAUGGUGAGAGCACUCAAUACAGAAUAAUACAUUUUUAC